rnacentral:ncRNA from 1 species
GGACGAGGCUCUGGAAAGACCGCUAUUGGCACCGUAGGAGCAAUACAGCGAUGUAGAAACUCUCAGGUAAAAAAACAGAGGCAUAUAA